rnacentral:rRNA from 1 species
UACGUAGGGGGCAAGCGUUGUCCGGAAUCAUUGGGCGUAAAGCGCGUGUAGGCGGCCCGGUAAGUCCGGUGUGAAAGUCGGGGGCUCAACCCUCGAAUGCCGGUGGAUACUGUCGGGCUAGAGUGCGGAAGAGGCGAGUGGAAUUCCUGGUGUAGCGGUGAAAUGCGCAGAUAUCAGGAGGAACACCAAUUGCGAAGGCAGCUCGCUGGGACGUGACUGACGCUGAGACGCGAAAGCGUGGGGAGCAAACAGG